GUCAACUAUAGUCUUAUCUACUGUCUUCUGUAAGUACUUCUGUAUGCAAGGGAGUACGCAACAGGUCAGAAAUAAGAAAAUGAUGGUCAUUAUAAGAACAGCUGCCCCCACCUGGAAGAGGGUCCUCUGCCAACCAUUCAUCCAUCCAAACCAUCUGUCCCAAGUGUCAGUGACUCCUGAAUUUUUCUUUAGCUCAUCUGCGAGAUUAUCCAGCUUCUCUAUAGCCAUAGUCACCUUACCAUUGGGCCCAGUGUUGUCUGGAAUGUAUGUACAGCAUGUCAUGGUCUCAGGGAGGAUUUUACAUACACCUCCUUUCUCAGCUAAAAUCAUAUCUAGAGCCAUUCUAUUCUGAAAUGUCAUUUGGGUAGUGGCUUGCAGUUGCUCUGCCAGGCCCUGUAGGGCAUCCCUGGUGUAGUUGACAAAGCUCUGUUGGUUAUAGUAGAU